rnacentral:lncRNA from 1 species
CCAGGGUACAGGGCAGGAGCCUGGACCUCUUUACAGUUGCCUUUUCUCUCUCUCUGUCCCUUCUCCAUCUUCCGAGCUCCUACUCGCCCUUCAGGACCCAGCUCGAAUGCCCCAUCUCUGGGAGGCACCUUCAAUCUUGGGCUGCCCCUUCCGUCACACCCCCUGUCCCCUGUCUCCUGCCUCCCCCUCCUCCUCACGCAAAGCCACCCCCACCUGUUGGUGGCCUGUGUCUCCGCUGGCCCAGGGCUCUCUUGCUGUGGCCACCGUGGGUUUUGGCCUCGUGACGCAGUCCAUGCGUGCACAGCGCAAGUAGCUUCCCAGGACACCGAUUCCCUCCCCGGCCGCAGCUGCUUCUGGUCCUCUGCCCACUCCCGGGUUCUGCGCCCUCCUGCGUCCCCGGCCUGGCCACAGCUCGGUCACCCCAGGACCACCGUGUGCUGGGGAUUUGUCACGGGUUUGUCCUGACGUGUGAGGUCCAGCCGGGGUCCCCAUCAGCCUCCCUGUCCCCGUCCCUGUCCCCGUCCCUGUACCCGUCAGGCCUCCUGCUGCGCUGUGGGCAGUGGCUUAGCGCCAUCUGCUGGGCUGGUGCCUGUAGUGCCGCCAAGCGCAGGAGGGACCCAGCGGCUCCAGGUCUGUGGGAGACUUUAAGUUGGGGCCGAAUGUGGUGCUCGCUGCCAAAGCAGAGCCCCCAAGCUGGACAGGACCCCUGGCCGUGCGGCUGAGAACACCUGGGGUUGUCCUACCUUUGCAGGGACAGCGAGCCAACCCCUGCUUGGAAGGAGCACUUUCCCCACCGAGGCCGGCCCAGGGCGCGUGCUGAGCAGGUGUGUUGAGUGGGUGGAAAGAAUGCAACCCCUGGUUGUGGGACAUGUUGAAGCCCACCCCAACCCCUCCAGUACCGUCCUUCUGUCCCUCCACUUGCUGGGGCUGGGGGCCGAGGAUGGGGUCACUGUGGGGACUUUAUCCAGCUGGUUGACUUCAGGGUCCUGGCAGGGAGUGGCUCUUGCUGCCAGGACAGUAGAGGCCUAGAGAGUCCUAUCUCUGACACCAGCCACCUUGUGGGAGGCCUGAUCUCUGACACCAGCCACCUUGCAGGGUUUGGGCCAGGGAAGGGGAAGGGAUGGGAGAGAAUGGAAGCCUCCAGAGUCAUUUUAACUGGUCGUUGGACAGAGCCAGUGCGACUUCAAGUUCAAUGACAAACCCCCUCUCCAUGUCUCUGGGGUGGGGUGGGGCCUGUGGCCCCACAGAGCUGAGCCACCCAGGAGGCCAGGGAAGGAGACGCAGUACACAGGAGGCCAGGGAAGGAGACGCAGUACACAGGAGCCCAGCAUCCUCUCAGCUGCAUGGACAUCUCUACCCAGACCCUUCUGCAGCCACGUCCCCACUUACCCAGCAGGAGACCAAGCCAAUUCUUUCCUGCAAAACUGUGCUGGCCUCUGUGACUGUCCUGCAACCAGACAGAGGCCUGAGGGACUCUGCACAGUUUCUGGGCUGAGGCAGAAGAAGCCCCAUGGCUUCCCCUCUGCCUCCUGCAUGCUGCCUCUUAGCUCUUAGCACCUGCUGGGAGAAGCUGGCCCCAGCGUGGACAAGCCUCCAGGAGACCGGAGCACCCACCGGAAGGAAGGGAGGGAAGGAGGGAGGGAGGAAGGGCCAUGGAGGUAAAACGAAGUUAUUAGGGUGGGCCCAAAUCUGACUGGUGUCCGUAGACAAAGGGGAGAUUAGGACACAGACAUGCACAGAGGGAUGACACCGUGAGGACACACGGAGAAGACGGCAUCUGCAAGCCCAGAAGAGAGGCCUUGGGAGGACCCAACCCUGCCCACACCUUGAUCUUGGACUUCCAGUCUCCAUGACUGUGAGAGGGUAAAUAAAUGCAUGCUGUUAAGGCCACGG